rnacentral:lncRNA from 1 species
CAAGCAGGAAGAUUAGAAUGACUUAUUAAGACUAAUAAGUAAAGAUGGAACCAUCACCAGAAGAAAUUUCUAAACUUAAUUACUGUAUUUUAGAUGGGACACACACCUCUUUCCUAUAUCAAGGAAUUUUUAGGAACUUGAGUGCAGUAGGUGGAGCUCUUACCUCUUAACUGGGGAUUACCAGCACUUGCUUAGCAUAAGAAUACCUAGUUUUGAAUUAAAAAAAAUAAAGCAGAUAUUACUUUCAGAAAAAAUUUAAGUUUUAAUAGGUAGAGUCACAAUCUUGUACAAUAGGUAUAGCAAGGUACAGGGAGAACCAUCAUCCUUCUUUUAUGCCCUAAUCAGUCCUUAUUUCUUCUUUCCAGAGUUAACCAAUGUUAAGUUUUUUCUGUUAAAAUGCUAUCUUUCAUUUUAUUUAUUUUAUUUCUUAUUUAUUUAAUAGCUAUUUCUUUUUUCCCCAAAUUUUUGACUUGAAACAUACCAAACCUACAGAAACCUGCAAGUAUAAAACAAUGAACACAUGACCUAUAUACUUCAUCUAGACCUGUGCUGUCUAAUUAACACCAGCCUCCUUCAUGUGACUUUGUCCACUGCAUUGUGGUGAGUAAGAAUUGAGGUGUUCUGAAACUGUUAAAUACAUGCUGGAUUUUUAAGCAUUAGUAUGAAGAAAAAAGUAUGUAAAAUGUUAAUAAUGUUUACAUUGAUUACAUUCUAAAUGCUAAAGACUGAGUUAAAAUAUUAACAUCAUUUUCCUUUUUUUAAUGUAGCUACUAGAUUAUUUUAAGUUGUAUAUACUGUUUGCCUUAUAUUUCUAUUUUAUAGUGCUAAUCUAGAUUCAGUAGUUAACAUUUUGCCAUAAUUUGCUUUCUUUUGAUCUUUUAUCUGAAACCAUUUGAGGUUAGUUGCAGACAUCAUGAAAUUUUACUUCCAACUACUAUAUCAUUUAUUUCCAAAGAACAAGCAAUACAGUUAUCACUCAGGAAAUUAAAUUUAAUUCAACAUUAUUUAUUGUACAGUUCCUAGUCAAAUUUUCCCAUUGUCCUAACACUUUUUAUAUUUUUUCCUUUUUAUCCAGGAUCCACUCAAGGAUUAAACAGCGCAUUUAGUUGUCAUGUUUCUGUAGUCUUUUAUUAUUUAUUUAUUUUUUUGUUUUUUGCCAUUUCUUGGGCCGCUCCCACAGCAUAUGGAGGUUCCCAGGCUAGGGGUCUAAUGGGAGCUAUAGCUGUCAGCGUACGCCAGAGCCACAGCAACGCGGGAUCGGAGCUGCGUCUGCAACCUACACCCCAGCUCAGGGCAACGCCAGAUCCUUAACCUCACGGUUCCUAGUCCUAUUUGUUAACCACUGAGCCACGACGGGAACUCCUGUAGUCUCCUUUUGGUCUGAAACAAUUCUCCAAUCCUCUUUUUUUUGUUUGUUUUUGUUUUUGUUUUGUUUUGUUUUUACAGCAUUGACCUUUUUGAAUAGUGGAGGACAGUUGCUUCAGAAACUCCCUCCAUUUAAAUAAAUAUUUCUUUUGUUAGAAAAACUGUCUUAAGUGAUGUGUCCUUCUCAGGGCAUUACAUCAGAAUUCAAAUACUGCUGAUGUAUUGUGUUAUCUCUAAUGGUGAAUUGGGUAGGCAGAAUAAUGUCCCGCAGGAGAUGUUUCUGUCCUAAUCUCCAGAAUAAUGAAUGCUUCCUGUGGCAGUAGGAGUUUUGCAAAUGUGAUUAAUUAAGGGUUUUGAGAGAGCAAAAAUUAUCCUAUGUUAUGGGAGGGGGGGUACAUCCAAAAUCAUCACAGGGAUCCUUCCAAGACAAGGAGGGAGGUUGGAGAGUUGGAGUCCCAGUGAUAUAAUGCCAGGAGGCUUUGAAGACAGAGGAAGGGGACCAUGAGCUAAGGAAUGCAGGGGGCCUCUAGAAGCAGAGAAAGGCAAGGAAACUGGGGUUCUUCCCUAGAGCCUCCAGAAAGAAAACAGCCCUGCCAACACCUAGGGUUUAGCCUAGUGAGACCUCCAUCAAAAUUCUGGACUACAGGACUGUUAGAUAUAAAUUUGUGCUGUUGUAAGCCAUUGAGUUUGUGGUAAAUUUUUGCAGUACCAGUAGGAAACAAAUACAGUAAGUCUGAUAAUUUGGUGAAGGUGUCUGCCAUAUUUCUCCUUUUUUGUUGUUGUUGUUUUGUUUGGUUUGGUUUGGUUUGGUUUUGGUUUUGGUUUUUUUCUUUUUUGGCCAUACCCCCGGCUCAUGGAAGAUGUCUAGCCAGCGAUCAAAUCUGAGUCACCUAUAUCACAGCUGCAACCUUUACCACAACGCUGGAUCCUUAACCCACCGCACUGGCUGGGGAGCCAACUGGCACUGCCGCAGAGAUAACACGGGGAUCCUUAACCCGCUGUGCCUUAGCCAGAACUCCUUUCCACGGUAAAGUUACCUUUUACACUUGUAAUUUACAAAUAUUUUUUAAAAGAUAGCAAAUAUCACCUGUGAAAGUUAUAUUUUGAAAAUAUAUGGAUUUUCUGUUCCCCAGAAAAAUUCCACUAACUGGCUUUAGCAUCUGCUAAUGAUCCUUGCCCGAAUCAAUCAUUAUUCUAGUGCAUGCAAAAUGGUGUUAUUUUAUCAUUCUCGUGUAAAAACUUUCCUUUCUCUCCUCCCUCUUUUUAUUCUUUAUUUAAUUUUAAAAUGUCAGUUUGGAUUCAUAUUCUUUUUUGUAUUUUUGUGUUUCUAGUCAGUGUGUUAUAAUCUACCGCUGUCCUUAUUCAUUUAAUACUUAAAUUGUCUCAAGUUUGGCCAGAGAGAGUCCCUUUGUGCUGGCUUCUAUAUUCGUUUGACAUGUCCCCAUAAAUUUUUGAACACUUCUUUACCUUCUGGCACAAGAUGGUCCAGGCACAUCCUGUACUUUAUAAAUUGAUGUAGGGAGAAUAAACAUCUUUAUGCAUAUAUCUUUUCUCUUUUAAUUUCCUUUUUAAAAAUUUUACACAAGGUGGGGCAUACUCAACAUACUGUUCUGUAACUUUUUAAAAAUUAAUUUCUUUUAAAAGAUGUCUAUUCUUUACAUAUAGAGGUUUCUUAUUGUUUGGAUAACUAUGUAGUAUUCCAUUCUAUUAAAGCAAUUUUACAUCAUUAGUCAUUUAGAUUAUUGUCUCUCUUUUUUUUUUUUUUUUUUUUUUUGCUAUUUCCAAAGUAUUACAAUGAAUAAUCUUGGCCCAAUAUAAUUUGUCAUUUAGUUUUUAUUAAUUGCCACACAACUAACUUACUUUAUAGAGUGCCAGUUUCUGACUUAAGAAUGUUAUGUAUUGGGAGAAAAAUCACGGCAUCUAAUUCAAAUUCAGGUAUAGUUUUAAUUUUUCAACAGUUUAAUUUUUCAAUUUGAUUUUAACUUGACUCAGCUAUUCUUCUAUUCAUUAAUUUGUUCAUUCACUGAACAAACAUUUAUUGACUAUCUAUUAUAUGUAAGUCACUAUGUUAGGUACAGGAUGCCUGAACUUGAAGCUUAGUCUGGCAGGAUUCAAGUAAACAAGCAAUUACAGUUUGUAGAGUGGUGAAUAGUAAAAGAAACUUUUGACUAUAAUUCAAUUUAAUAAGUUCCAAAACAUCAUUUAUUAAGCAUACUCUGUUGAUAGGAAUGUAAAAUGGUACAGCCACUCUGGAAAAUAGUUUGGCAGUUUCUUAUAAAGCUCGGUAUGCAUUUAAUAUAUGACUCAUCAAUUGUACCCUUAGGCACUUAUACCAGAGAAAUGAAAACUUAUGUUCACAUAAAAUCUGCACAUGAAUAUUUACAGCAGCCUCAUUCAUAAUAGCCUAAAACUAGAAUCAGCUCAAACAUCCUUCAGUGGGUGAAUGGUUAAACUGUAGUACCCCUGUACCGUGGAAGAUUUAUCAAGAAAGAAACAUACUAUUGAUACACAUAACAACUUGGAUGGAUCCCAAGGGAAUUAUGCUGAGU